AAACUACUUCGAAGUCCAUUUCUGUAGGGCGCCCUCCAGUGGUGAACAACGGUACUGUGCAUGCUCAGGUUUUGCACCUGGUGUCAGUUGGCCGGUAAUAUGCUAAUGAAGGGGCGGUACCAUGCUGGUGAGGUGAUUCGUUCUCCGCCAAUCCCUGGAGGACAAGUAGUGGGGUGAUAGUGGGAUGACAGUGGGGUGAUAGUGGGGUGACCCGUGCCCCACCAGUCCCUGAGAGAUUAUUAGCAUACUGUUGUGUAUAUAAGUUGAACGACUUUGCCGAUCGUGGUCCCCUGUCCCUGUUCAAGAGAGCUGUACAGUAAAGGCUUGUUCGCAGAAGAAUCCUGUUGCCUCGCGUCGUUCUUACUGGCGAGACGUUGGGCGCACAACACAUUUCGAUGGCAUGGACAGCCGAAGUCGGAGAACUGCUCAGGUCACAACCAAAUGGACUCUGUCACUCAGAAGAAUGGAAUAGAUUUUCUACAGUGAACAAAGAGAUCCGGUUUUCCUGCCAGAUUGGUGAUAACAUCUUGUCAAGCAAGACUGCGGUUCUCAAACAAAACAAAAGCACUCUUCAGUGAGUGCUCUACACCACUGAGCCCUAAUUUUAGGUAGUUUGCAUUUGCCUUGCAAACGAACCCCCAAAUUACUAAACCACAACCAUUUAAAGCCAUCCAGCCCAGUGCCAGAAGGAUUGGGUGCACAUGGGGGAGUGAGCGCACUGCUCCGCCAUGGUGGACGUGGAUAGUCAGGCUGCUUGCAUUCAGAUGGUGCUUGUAGCUCUGAAAACAGAGCACGACUGGGUACGGACACACUGCAUCUCUGUCAUGACCAUGGAGGGGAAAGAACCUAGGUGGGGGCUGAGGAGAGCAAAAGUCAACCUUACUUAGAGUGGAUGUGAUUGAGACAAAGAACGAAGUGACUUGCCAUUGACUUCUCGGUGCUUGGGUACCCCUCAGGUGUUGAUUUCAUGUGUCUGUUGCUUUAUAGACCCGGAAAGGUAUUGGGAAACAUGUACUCAGCGGAGGGAAUCUUGAGGCAUUUAAUGGGGGAGGAAGGUAGAGUGGUCCCUGAUGCAUCACAGCAAAGGGGAUAAGAACAAAAGACAACCAGGGGCCACUAUCAUGGGGUUAAGGGUUUCUGUUUCUAUAUUUAAUUCCUUUCUAUUCACAUUAAAUUUAAAAAGGC